AUUGAACGCUGGCGGCAGGCUUAACACAUGCAAGUCGAACGAGUGGCGGACGGGUGAGUAAUGCUUGGAAAUCUGGCUAAUGGAGGGGGAUGACGACGGGAAACUGUCGCUAAUACCGCGUACCAUAGGAUGGGCCCUAGUUGGAGUAGGUAGUUGGUGGGGUAAGGGCCUUCCAAGCCGACGAUGUCUAGCUGGGCUGAGAGGAGGACCCGCCACACCGGGACUGAGACACGGCCCAGACUCCUACGGGAGGCAGCAGUGGGGAAUAUUGGGCAAUGGGCGCAACCCUGACCGAGCCAUGCCGCGUGAGUGAAGAAGGUUUUCGGAUUGUAAAGCACUUUAAGUUGGGAAGCGGUACCUGAAGAAUAAGCACCGGCUAACUACGUGCCAGCAGCCGCGGUAAUAC
rnacentral:rRNA from 1 species